AACGUAGGAGGCGAGCGUUAUCCGGAUUCACUGGGCGUAAAGCGCAUGUAGGUGGUUCGUUAAGUAGGUCGUGAAAGCCCCCGGCUCAACUGGGGGAGGUCGGCCUAAACUGGCGGACUUGAGGUUCCGAGAGGCCGGUGGAAUUCCCGGUGUAGCGGUGGAAUGCGUAGAGAUCGGGAGGAACACCAGUGGCGAAAGCGGCCGGCUGGCGGAAUUCUAACACUGAGAUGCGAAAGCGUGGGGAG
rnacentral:rRNA from 1 species